rnacentral:rRNA from 1 species
CCUACGGGUGGCAGCAGUGAGGAAUAUUGGUCAAUGGGCGCAAGCCUGAACCAGCCAAGUCGCGUGAGAGAUGACGGUCCUAUGGAUUGUAAACCUCUUUUGUCGGGGAGCAAGGCCCGCCACGUGUGGCGGGAAGGAGAGUACCCGAAGAAAAAGCAUCGGCUAACUCGGUGCCAGCAGCCGCGGUAAUACGGAGGAUGCGAGCGUUAUCCGGAUUUAUUGGGUUUAAAGGGUGCGUAGGCGGAUGGUAAAGUCAGCGGUAAAAUGUCGGUGCUCAACACCGGCCUGCAGUUGAAACUGGUCUUCUUGAGUGAGCGAGAAGUAUGCGGAAUGCGUGGGGUAGCGGUGAAAUGCAUAGAUAUCACGAAGAACUCCGAUUGCGAAGGCAGCAUACCGGCGCUCAACUGACGCUGAGGCACGAAAGCGUGGGGAUCGAACAGGAUUAGAUACCCCAGUAGUC